rnacentral:rRNA from 1 species
AUGGCGGGGCAGUCCGACCCGCAUCUCUCCCUCUUCUCGCCGUCCGAGGUGGAGUUCGUGGCCGAGGAUGAGAUCGUCGAGAUCGUCCCCAACAUCCGGAUGGAGGCCCUGAACAUGAUCUGCGGGGAUUUCGGACCCUUCUUCCCCCAAAUUCCAAGCAAGGUCCCUCUGUGGCUCGCUGUGGCGCUCAAGAGGCGUGGCAAGUGCACCAUACGUGCACCCGAGUGGAUGACUGUUGAGCGCUUAACACAGGUGUUGGAUGCAGAAAGGGAGUCACCUAGAGAAUUUCAGCCAUUACCAUUCCACUAUAUCGAAAUAUCUAAGCUUCUGUUUGAUCAUUCUCGUGAUGACAUCACAGAUGCUUACUUGGUGAGAUCUUUGAUCGAGGAUAUCAGAGAUGUCAGGUUCCAUAAGGUCGAGACUGGAUUAGAGACAAUAUCUGGCCGUACUCAUGCUGUGAAGCUCAAAAAUCUCUCUGCAAUGGAGGUGAAUAUCGUGCGUCCAUUUAUGGUGAGAACUUUGCAGGCGUUCUACAAGCAUGAUAGCCCACAGAUGAUUCAGCAGGCAGACAACACAGGGAGCAGAUCAACACCAGUCACAGAUCGCGGUCCAAGAAGAGACCUAAGGCGCAGGUAA